GAUGAAGAACGCAGCAAAAUGCGAUAAGUAAUGUGAAUUGCAGAAUUCAGUGAAUCAUCGAAUCUUUGAACGCACAUUGCGCCCGCUGGUAUUCCGGCGGGCAUGCCUGUUCGAGCGUCAUUUCAACCCUCAAGCCCCCGGGUUUGGUGUUGGGGAUCGGCUCUGCCCUCUGGGCGGUGCCGCCCCCGAAAUACAUUGGCGGUCUCGCUGGAGCCUCCAUUGCGUAGUAGCUAACACCUCGCAACUGGAACGCGGCGCGGCCAUGCCGUAAAACCCCAACUUCUGAAUGUUGACCUCGGAUCAGGUAGGAAUACCCGCUGAACUUAAGCAUAUCAAUAAGCGGAGGA
rnacentral:misc_RNA from 1 species